rnacentral:rRNA from 1 species
AUUAACGCUGGCGGCGCACAUAAGACAUGCAAGUCGAACGGAAGUCGUUACCAAAUAGAUUGAAGAUUAUCUGAUUGAAGUUUAGUAACAAUGGCUUUAGUGGCGGACUGGUGAGUAACACGUAAGUAACCUGCCUAUCAGAGGGGAAUAACAGUGAGAAAUCAUUGCUAAUACCGCAUAAGCUUACAGUAUCGCAUGAUACAGUGAGAAAAGGAGUAAUCCGCUGAUAGGUGGACUCGCGGCCGAUUAGCCAGUUGGUGGGGUAACGGCCUACCAAAGCAACGAUCGGUAGCCGAGCUGAGAGGCUCAACGGCCACAUUGGGACUGAGAUACGGCCCAGACUCCUACGGGAGGCAGCAGUCGGGAAUAUUGCGCAAUGGAGGAAACUCUGACGCAGUGACGCCGCGUAUAGGAAGAAGGUUUUCGGAUUGUAAACUAUUUUAGACAGGGAAGAAGAUGACAGUACCUGUAGAAUAAGCUCCGGCUAACUACGUGCCAGCCGCAGC